GGACCGGUAGCUCAACUGGCAGAGCGCGCGGUUGUUAACCGCAAGGUUGUGGGAUCGUCCCCCACCCGGUCCG
rnacentral:tRNA from 1 species